ensembl:lncRNA
CUACCAGUUGUUGGGUAUUGGACCUGCCAUGGAAAACAAGUCAUGGCCCAGUGCUGGAGAACUUACAAGACUUGUAAGGAAGCUGAUGGGCAAACAAGGAGUGGAAAUGCAGAUAUCAGAGAAACUAGCAUCCAAUCCCAGGCGAGGUGGUUCUUUGGGACACUAGUCCACCAUCUUCUCUGUCUGCUGGCUUUCCAAAUAAAGUUGCUACUUGUCUCCCGAUUGAUCGGCCUGUCCUCUGGCAAAUAGUACAGUCUUGGAAUCGGUAACAAAUUUGUUAAAGUUGAACAGGAACCUUGCUGCUCUCGGCCAGCCAGCCUCAGUAGGGGAAUUUUCAAGUUUGCCUGCCCACCUAAGGUGGUGCUACAACCCUUCCAACCCAGGAAUAGUCUCCUCAAAACCUGGAGAAAACAAGGACCUG